GAUGUAUAAAACACAGCGGAAAUACGACCGCCCGUUACUAUUUGUCGGGGUGUCGAUUAUUACACUAUAAUAGCAUUGAAUAUUACAUUUUACAAGUAAAUCCGUGUUACCGCAGUCUAAUCGAAAUAUAUAAUAACGAAUGCGUAUGUACUUUAAUGUUUGAUACAAGCACCUGCAUACAGAGUAUUCAGAUUAAAUCGUC